rfam:Sorghum bicolor cultivar BTx623 chromosome 9, whole genome shotgun sequence.
GUAGUCGGAUUCCUAUCAAUUCACAUGUGCUGAGGUGGAUUUGAGUGAAAUUUGAACUAAAUUCCACUCCAAUCCACUACAACACAUGUGGAUUGAGGUGAAUCUGAUA